GAGUAUCUCCCAGGCCAAGGUACAAGAUAAAAUCCCAGAAGAGGAAAUGUGAUGAGGAGAUAGGCAGUGGAUCUGAGAAAGAGUUUGAAAUAAUGAUGGCCAAGGUGUUCAGAGAACUCAAGAGGAGCAUAGAAGCACAGAGUGAAGUUUUUAGCAGAGAGCUGGAAAAUAUAAAGAAUACCCAGACACUGGGGGCAAGGGAUAGCUCAAGUGGUAGAG